rnacentral:rRNA from 1 species
UACGAAGGGUGCUAGCGUUGUUCGGAAUCACUGGGCGUAAAGCGCGCGUAGGCGGCUUCUCAAGUCAGGGGUGAAAUCCUGGGGCUCAACCCCAGAAUUGCCUUUGAAACUGUGAAGCUAGAGUGUCGGAGGGGAUAGCGGAAUUUCCAAUGUAGCGGUGAAAUGCGUAGAUAUUGGAAGGAACACCGGUGGCGAAGGCGGCUAUCUGGACGACAACUGACGCUGAGGCGCGAAAGCGCGGGGAUCAAACAGG